rnacentral:rRNA from 1 species
CCAGACUCCUACGGGAGGCAGCAGUGGGGGAUAUUGCACAAUGGGGGAAACCCUGAUGCAGCGAUGCCGCGUGAGUGAAGACGGCCUUCGGGUUGUAAAGCUCUGUCGCAGAGGACGAAAAUGACGGUACUCUGUAAGAAAGCUCCGGCUAACUACGUGCCAGCAGCCGCGGUAAUACGUAGGGGGCAAGCGCUAUCCGGAUUUACUGGGUGUAAAGGGAGCGUAGGUGGCGUGCCAAGUCAGGAGUGAAAACCCAGGGCCCAACCUUGGGACUGCUCUUGAAACUGGCAGGCUUGAGUGCUGGAGAGGUAAGCGGAAUUCCUAGUGUAGCGGUGAAAUGCGUAGAUAUUAGGAGGAACACCAGUGGCGAAGGCGGCUUACUGGACAGUGACUGACACUGAGGCUCGAAAGCGUGGGGAGCAAACAGGAUUAGAUACCCCAGUAA